rnacentral:rRNA from 1 species
UGGGAAUAUUGGACAAUGGGGUAACCCCUGAUCCAGCAAUCCCGCGUGAGUGAUGAAGGCCUUCGGGUUGUAAAGCUCUUUAAGUUGGGAAGAAGGGAAACUUGACUGUACCAACAGAAUAAGCACCGGCUAACUCUGUGCCAGCAGCCGCGGUAAUACAGAGGGUGCAAGCGUUGUUCGGACUUACUGGGCGUAAAGCGCGUGUAGGCGGUCUUUUAAGUCUGGUGUGAAAGCCUGAGGCUUAACCUCAGAAGUGCACUGGAUACUGGAAGACUAGAGGGUGAAAGAGGAGAGUGGAAUUCAUGGUGUAGGGGUGAAAUCCGUAGAUAUCAUGAGGAACAUCAGUGGCGAAGGCGGCUCUCUGGUUCACUACUGACGCUCAGACGCGAAAGCAUGGGGAGCAAAC